GCAUACUCUUACUUUUAUAAAAAUGUUGUAUAUUGACCACUAAUUCUGUGCAUGCUGUCAUACAGAGAUGAUGAACCAUUCCUGAAGUUGAACGCCAGAAUGCAGGAAGGUGCUGUUUAAGAGCCUAGGCGGUGGAAGAAGCACUUGCAGGUAUGCUACCGACCAGGCUCCUCAACAUCAAUCCGAGACGGAAGAUGAAACGGGAUGAAGCAGUUAGAUUGAGGAUAACGUACCUCAACAGUCUUCUUCAGAUUCUCUACAAACACAGUCUGAGUGGUGAUUAGAACAUGCCUGGCAUCCAAGGGUGUGGCCAGUUUGUUAACCCUUUACACUCUACACUUUACAAUUAGAAUUAUUGUACACUGUCUGGACAAGAUGUAGAAUACUACUGAGCGACAGUGAUAUGUCAUGUUCUUAAUACUGUUAUAUCCUGUCAUUACAGACAAGGCGGCCGGAAACUUUGAUGACCUCAAUGACACUGGCUAGGUGAAGGACAUCAACAAAAUGGCAUCAGGUCACCAGACAUCAGCUCAUAAUCCACAACGUCAUCAACCAUUUUGCGCCAAAAAUGAAGCCGUUCACAUACCAUGGCAUCCUAAGCAGGCAGCACUACACUACUGUGCAACAGUGAGAGAGAGCGGGCAAGGACAAGUAAAGCGGACCUACACUACAGCAAGACUUUGACACUUCUCCACGUUAGAGGCAGCCAUCACCCCCACCGUUGAGCAGCGGCUAUGUGUAACCCCCAAAAGAGGAGAUGAUCCGACGAUGUG